CAGAUCUUCUUGUUCCUCUUGCGGUCCACGUCAACAGCAAUGGCGGCGCUUCCGCUUCGCCUCCUCGGCCGCCUCGGCGGCGUCGGUCGCCGUGGCCGCCUACCGCCGCCGCUCGCUGCUCUCGCGCACCUCUCUGUCCCCUCCCACCAAAGCCCUGACCGCCAGAUUCCCUCUCCUGCUCCCCCGCUCCCUUUCCCCACCCUUGUUCUCCCUUUCGCGGUGCCCGCGCGAAGCUUCUCCUGGUACUCCCGCUCCCCCUCCGGUCCCACCACAGCCGCCGCGGAGGCUCACGUUGACGAGGACGCGCGCAACGAGACUGAAAGCGUUUGCCUGGAUGAUGUGAGUGCCACUCAUUACGGGGAAGGGCUCGCCGGCGCGGCGGAUGCUGCUGUGGUAGUGGCCGACGGUGGCGAUGGAGGGGGCAUGACGGAUUUGGCUAUGGGCGCGUUGGUUGACGUCCUCGACGGAUUCCAUAGUCUCACCGGACUACCAUGGUGGAUAACAAUCUCCUUCUCAACUGUGGCCAUGCGACUAUCGAUACUCCCUGUCCUCAUGUUACAACUUCAGAAGACUGCCAAAAUUGGCCAACUAUUUCGACAAUUGCCCCCUCCAUUACCCCCUCCUCUAUCAGGAAGGAGUUUUCGUGAUCAAUACUCUCUUUUCCAGAAGAAAAGGCGAGAGCUCGGUUGCCCCUCCUUCCUUUGGAAUCUUGCCUACUUUUCAGUUCAGUUCCCUUGCUUUAUACUGUGGAUCUCAAGCAUCAGGAGUAUGUGUGUUAAUAAUCACCCUGGAUUAGAUAAUGGCGGCGUUCUGUGGUUUCAUAACUUGACCGAGUUUUCGCAUGGUGCCUUAGGCCCCGUUUUUCCUAUCUUAGUUGCUGGACUCCAUUAUUUAAAUAUGCAGAUUUCCUUCCAGACAAGCCAGACCAAGCACUAUCCUGGAGUUUUAGCCUUGCUAGCAAAGUACUACAAGAUGUACCUUGACAUUCUGUCUAUUCCCUUGUUUCUUAUCGCAUAUGUGGUCCCUCAGGGGUGCCUGAUCUACUGGACUACCAAUGGUUUAUUUACUGUAGCUCAGCAAUUGUACCUCAGACCCGGUGUUAUCCGCAAGAUGUUUGGAUUGCCUGAUAUUGGAGCUCGCGCUGGUAAUACAGCAUUUAGAUCUCCUCUCGAGGGUCAGGAGAUGAUCCAGCGGUGGCCCCGUGGAGAAUUCCGCAUGCAGUCUAGAUUAGGAUCAUCUGAUAAUGGAACUACCAGUGAGAAUAUGACUCCAAAAUUUAUGUUUGAGAGUAGUACGAUAAUGGAAGGAGAUGUAUCUGAGGCCAGCACACCUGAGGAUCUUCUCGAGCAAGCAUUACAACAUUUGGAAAAUGGCUGCCAAGAUCAAGCUAUCCCACUUAUAAGCAAUAGAGAAAAACCCAGAUCUAUCUACAUCUUUGAUUGCAAUGGCACAGACCUUCUACUCAAAAAUGUUGUUUUCUGAAGCCUCCUUGUGUUAUGAACAUGCUAUACCACAGAUGAAAGAACAGGAUCCUCUCAUUGUGCUUGCACAUUUCGGUGCAGGUCUUUCUUGUAGAAAGCAGGGUGAUAAUGAGGCCGCAAUUGAACACCUGCAAAGAUUAGCAGAGCUCAAGGAGCCAGAAUUAAUGAUGAACAAAGCAUGCUAUUUCCGUGGUAUCAUUGUUCUAGGAAGUAUACUAUCGAAUGAAGGUCGGAAAUCUGAAGCCGCCAAAUACCUGCGACUAGCUCUUGCUUAUGAUCCUGCUGCUGAGAGACUUUUGAAGGAAUGUGAGGAAGCAGUGGAAGAUCAACCAAAGUCAGCAGAACAUUGAACCACCAGACCUGAAAAAGACAAUGAGACAGGCAGAACAGAGGCAGAUGUACUGCUGUCUUUUUUUCAACAUCAACACAAAGGUUUGCUUGUCACUUCAAAUUUUGAUUUCCUAUCGACAAUUUUAUUCCAUCAUUGGAGAUUGUAAAAUAUACUCAAGAAGAAAUUUGAAGUCAGACAGUGGCAGUGAACCAAUGUACUCAAUCCCUUGGAGGUCUUGCCACUGAUGUAUUCUGAUAUAUAGGCGCUUCCAGUUUUGUAAAGUGACUGAUGUAUUCUCAUAUAUACAUGUUAUGGUAUGUUGAUGCAACAAUAUGUUCAGAUUUCUUUGAAUCUGAGAUACUGUUGGAGAUCUCAGUUCCUAUUUCGUUUGGAUUAUAUUGGCAUUGCCAGAAGAAAGUGGAGUUUGAUUGCA